GGAGGGGGCCCUGCAGGUGGAGGAGGGGGCCCUGCAGGUGGAGGAGGGGGCCCUGCAGGUGGAGGAGGGGGCCCUGCAGGUAGAGGAGGUGGCCCACCCGGACACGGAAGGACCAGCGGUCUCUACUGUGCAGAGGAAGCGGAGGAGAAAAGAGCAUCACAGCCAGAAGGGGCUUGAAAAAAGGAACAAAACUUUACCGAAG